GGUGGCGGUAUGGCUGGUCGGCAGUCUGUGGUGUGCGAGUAGCGGCAGUAACAUGAAAAACUCAGAAGUGACCAGAGGAGAUGGAGUCCGGAAAGGUGCCAGGUUCAAGCUGUACCCGGAGAGCAGGUAUAAUGAAUUCAAUGGCGAUCCUUGUGUCAGCAAACCCAUGGCACCGAGAUGCAGUGACAGCAGCUGUCCCUUUUCAAAGAUAGCAAGGCUAUAUCUGAGCUUGCUGUAAUGCUGCUGGAUCUGGAUGCUGCUGGGUGUGGUUACCUUCAGGGAAUUACAUUCCUGUACUAUUCCACAGCUUGUCUGCCUCCCCCCAACACAUUCUCAGCACACAGGAUCCCACACAAACUGGUUAUACAAAACCAGUUUUAAAAAAGCUUAUUGCAACAGUUGUAGAGCCAUCUUUGCCGAUUGUUCAAAACAAAGUAAUUUUAUUAAGUGUCACUGAUUUUUCAAUUUGUGCCAGAAUUUCUAUAAGAGGAUACCAGUAUGUCAUUUAAAAAAAAAAAAAAACAGAAAAAAAAAAAAACACAUGACACAAGGUAUUUCUCAUCGAUGGAGCGCGGCGAUAACAAACUGUACAAUGAAAAUGUAUUGGUGUUCAUAUGAAAGUAAAUGUGUCGGUAAUGUUAAACCAGUUUGCUGAAAGUGACCAUGGCAUAAGUAGCGCUGUUAAUGCAAUAGUCCACAUGGUUAAGGCUUAGAAUGAUGAGUGGUGAAACAUGGGGAAGGAGAAAUAUGGCAAACAAUUAAACACAGUAACCUUCUGCAACAGAGUAGUUUGGGUUGGUUGCCCUUAAAUAGAGUAACGGCUGAUUAACACAUUUCUAUUAUAAUUGGUAAGAUAACACAAACAAACAAGUCACAUAUGUUCUGAGCCCACUAGAGUAUAAAUACCAGACAGAGAGGCAUACACAGAGAAGCCCCUCCACCCCCCCUCCAGAUCAUCGGGACCAUUGGUGUCUUGUCAGUGGCUCUCCAGGGGUUGAGGUAAUAUCAGCUGCCUCUGUUAAUACUAGUGGCAUGCAUUAUAUCUAAAUAAUAACAUUCAAUGUAGAAUGUAAUGUGGGUAUUUGAAACAUGGUCUUGUCUUAUCCUUCUAGCGUAACAAAGUCAUUAAUAAACCAUUUCCCCACUUAAAAUCACAGCUGUAUAGCUCUUUUGUACAGCGGUAUCGGUGCUAUGCUUCAGAGCGGUAGGUCCUGGGUUCGCGUCUCACCUCCGCCUGUGAGGAAACCCCUGCCUGCGGGAACAGAGGGCCGCAAUAUAUAGGCCCAAUAUUUUAAAUAAACUUUUUAAUCGCGUACCUUUUCAUACUGUUUUCAGUUUAACCCAAUACAAUUUCAGUUAAUAUGCUUUAACUAUAAACAACUAAUGGUCCAUCAUCACACAAUUAAAUCUUUCUGUGUCUGCGCCUGUGCAGCAUCGGCAACUUAAA